UGCAGAGGCAGGGCUGGGAUUGGACGCAGCCAGGGCUGCCUGCUUUCAGGGCGCCGGAAGCAGGCUAUCCCCGACGGAGCGAGUGCUCCUGCCCGUGGUAGGGUCUGUGAUCUUGAGGACGUCCUCUCUCUCUGAGUGACCCCUCUCGAUUCCCUAGGGCCGCGAUUGCCCUCUGUCCGACUCUCCUGCCUCGGCGCCUGAACGCGGCUUUUUGGGUGGUCCAUUGACCAUGGAAAACAUCCUGUGACUACCCUGGGAUCUACCACCAACAGACAAGAAUCAUGGGACAACUGACCUCAUCACCCACCCCAAGGCCCCUGUACAAGCCAUCCACAAGAACCCCUUGGAGAGCUUGGCUUCUCUUUUCUGGUAACUCCAUUUAGCACAAGUUCUUUUCAAUAAACUCUUAUCUGCUUGA